GACGAACCCGUGCGAACGUUGUUCGGAUUCACUGGGCUUAAAGGGCGCGUAGGCGGGUCACCAAGUCCGGGGUGAAAUCUUCCGGCUCAACCGGAAAAGUGCCUUGGAUACUGGUGGUCUGGAGGGAGGUAGGGGCACGCGGAACUUCCGGUGGAGCGGUGAAAUGCGUAGAUAUCGGAAGGAACGCCGGUGGCGAAAGCGGCGUGCUGGACCUCUUCUGACGCUGAGGCGCG
rnacentral:rRNA from 1 species